rnacentral:rRNA from 1 species
ACGGAAGGCAGCAGUGGGGAAUAUUGCACAAUGGGGGAAACCCUGAUGCAGCGACGCCGCGUGAGUGAAGAAGUUAUUCGUAAUGUAAAGCUCUAUCAGCAGGGAAGAAAAUGACGGUACCUGACUAAGAAGCCCCGGCUAACUACGUGCCAGCAGCCGCGGUAAUACGUAGGGGGCAAGCGUUAUCCGGAUUUACUGGGUGUAAAGGGAGCGUAGACGGUCUAGCAAGUCUGAUGUGAAAGGCAGGGGCUCAACUCCUGGACUGCAUUGGAAACUGUUAGUCUUGAGUGUCAGAGAGGUAAGCGGAAUUCCUAGUGUAGCGGUGAAAUGCGUAGAUAUUAGGAGGAACACCAGUGGCGAAGGCGGCUUACUGGACGAUAACUGACGUUGAGGCUCGAAAGCGUGGGGAGCAAACAGGAUUAGAUACCCUGGUA